rnacentral:lncRNA from 1 species
GCUUUGUGAGGUUGGUUAGGACAUAUAUAUUGUUGUUGAAGCUUUUAUUACGCUCAUCCACUCUCUCACCAACUUACCAUGCAUUCAUUGAGCUUUGAACUUGGUCAAAGAGAUUCCUGAACAAUGGUGAGGAAUCUCAUGUGCUUGUUGCUGAUGUGCAUGCAUGCUUUUGCUGAAAAGCUUCAAACAAAAUACUUCCUCAUGCAUGGCCAGAUACGUCCAAGUGAAGGGCACACAUGACUUUUCUCUUAUCCUACGUGGCACUCACUCCCUCACCCUCUCCUUUCUUUUCACUUCUGA